UCCGUAGGCGGGUAAUUAAGUCAGAGGUGAAAUCCCACAGCUUAACUGUGGAACUGCCUUAGAUACUGGUUAUCUUGAGUUUUAGUGAAGUAGAUAGAAUGUGUAGUGUAACGGUGAAAUGCAUAGAUAUUACACAGAAUACCGAUUGCGAAGGCAGUCUACUAACUAACAACUGACGCUAAUGGACGAAAGCGUGGGGAGCGAACAGGAUUAGAUACCCUGGUAGUCC
rnacentral:rRNA from 1 species